AGAUAAGAUCUUUGCCCGGGGGUGGUUUUUCUAAUAUUCUUCAAAUCGUUUCACUUAUAUUAAUUGAGCAAGAGGCGUAAUGCCUUAUGGAAGAGGAAAGUGAGUAAGAUUCCGACCUCCUGCUUGAACCAUGUAAUUGGAGGACAUAAACUGUAAACCACCGGCUGAAACCCUGUAGAUUUCCCAGAACUAAAGCACCGUGUACAGAAGGAAGAAAGCAAAGAACAGGAGUGCAGAGUUCCAGGCUAAUUUACGGCUGUGCCCACUGAGAAACUUGGAACUUGCUCUUCUCGGCUGUCUACACCUCACAGGCCCUCCCUUCCCCCUUCAGACAUGCACCUCUGGACCAGAAUAGGAGAUGAGGUCUCCUAGUGAGGGUAGUGGAGGUACCUUCCAUAGAAGAGGAGGAUGUGAGGUAUGAAACAUAUCUGAGCUGUAUCCCAGAGAGUAGUAUGCCUCUGUGUGUGUGUAAGCCUGAGACUGCUAUCCUUAGAAAAGCCUGCUUGCAAGGUUGGCCUUUGGCUGGCAUUUGGGAACUUGACUGGUAAACAGUUCCCUACACUGAUAUUACACUUUCCCUAAAUGGUAAGGAUGGCUCACUGUGCCUGAAAUGUUUUUACAAACAACGUGGUUGAUACUGAAUAUCUUCUGAGAGUCUGGAAUCUUGACAUGUGCUCAGUAGACAGUGCUUAUGUGACCAGCCCCCAGUGACAACACAGGCUUCUCUAAUGAGCUUCCCUGGUAGACACGUGUGUGUUAUUACAGUUUAAUGCUGGGCAGGAAUUAAGUGCAUUCUGUAUGACUCCAGAGGGGAAGGACUCUAGGAAGCUUGUGCUUGGUCUCCUCUGGAUUUUGCCUCCUGUGCCUUUUCCCUUUGCUGAUUUUACUUUCUAUCCUUUCACUGUAAUAAAUCAUAACCAUGAGUAUGAUUAUAUGCUGAGUCCUGGAGUCCUCCUAGCAAAUCAUUGAACCUGAGGAUGGCUUUGAGGAACCCCCAACACAAUUUUAGGAAAGAUUUGGACAGCAGAAACAGAGUGAGGAAUCCUCAGAAGAGAUGGUAGGGAAGCCUUAGGAAUAGAUGUGAUCACCCAGAGAGCAUCUGAAGAAAGAGAAGAAGGCUAUGAAAAGUGGAUACUGUACAACAAUGUGGAACGGAAGAGAUCGUGGGGCAAGUGAAAUGAACCACCACCAACCACACCAAAGGCCGGUCUUCAUCCAAAGAAGGUGAUGUUGUGUAUAUGAUGGGAUUGGAAGGGAGUCCUCUAUUAUGAGCUCCUUCUGGAAAACCAAACGAUUAAUUCCAACAAGUUCUGCUCCCAGUUAGACCAACUGAAAGCAGCACUCGACUAAAAACAUCCAGAAUUAGUUAACAGAAGACGCAUAAUCUUCCAUCAGGAUAAUGCAAGACCGCACGUUUCUUUGAUGACCAGGCAAAAACUGUUACAGCUUAGCUGGGAAAUUCUGAUUCAUCCACCGUAUUCACCAGACAUUGCACCUUCAGAUUUCCAUUUAUUUAGGUCUUUACAAAACUCUAUUAAUGGAAAAAAUUUCAAUUCUGUAGAAGACUGUAAAAGGCACCUGGAACAGUUCUUUGCUCAAAAAGAUAAAAAGUUUUGGGAAGAUGGAAUUAUGAAGUUGCCUGAAAAAUGGCAGAAGGUAGUGGAACAAAAGGGUGAAUACGCUGUUCAAUAAAGUUCUUGGUGAAAAUGAAAAA